UCUGCACCCCCGCGGGACCCGCGGGUCGCGACGCAAAACAGUGCGGCGCGGGAGAAAUUUUGAAAGGUCAAUGCGGGAGCGGGCGGGAUGAUGAGGUGCACUUGCGGGUGCGGUCGUGAGGGAUGAUGCGCUGCACUCCCGCAAAUUAAAUAUGAGUGUAAAAUAAAAUAUAUAAAUGAUUAAAGUAGCGUACAUAAUUUGUAGUUGUGAGGGAGAUUCUGAUUGGCAGCAAUAAAAACGUUUUAAGCAGCCUAAACUUGUGAAUAUUGUCGGGUAGGGCGGGGCAUAAUCUCACGCACAGUCGCACACUUGUUUAGAGACAAUUCCUUCCCGCUGCUCCGUGUUUGAAUUCGAAAGCUAGUUCAAGUUCAAAAUAGACAGCAUGGACGAGGAACAGAGCGCCUCUAGUGCUUCAGAUAGAGGCCUAAGCGCUUCAGAUGUAAGUUACGUUACUUCUCUAAAGUACUUGUGGUAGGCACACAGGCUAUUUUCAGUUUAACACCUGCACUGAGCGGCUCAAAGCCCAAAUAGUUUUUUAGUCGCAAUGUUUCAUGGCUAGCCUAUAAUGUGACAGGAGCAUUAUCGAAUUAUAUAUAUUAGAUAGAUAAUAAUAUUACCUAAUCGAAUAUAUAUAUUUUUUUUUUGUUACAUGUUAAGCCUAAUGAAAUUUCGGCCGAUUAAUGUCAUCUUUGUUGGCGUUCGUUACUGAUGCCUGUUUAAUGUUUUGUAUGGUUGAUUAUGCAGGCUUACCAAUAAAUAUGUUACCAAGUAUUGGUAAGGAAUUUUGUGAGCACGCAUUUUUUUUCCCCAGGGCCAAGACCUUUCGUCAGAAAGUGCGGGCGGGAGCGGGACAUUAUAUCACAGAUGCGGGCGGGA